GGGUUUCGGUAUUGACGGGUUGUUGCUGGUAUCAUUCUAUCAAAGGGUGUUACAUGUGCACGCCUGGCUCAUCCACUCUUCAACCUCUGUGCACUUAUUGUAGGCUGGUGGAAGGGUAAGCUUUCGGGCUUACUUGGAAGCCUUCCUAUGUUUUACUACAAACGCUUCAGUUUAAGAAUGUAAUCUCUGCGUAUAACGCAUCUAUAUACAACUUUCAGCAACGGAUCUCUUGGCUCUCGCAUCGAUGAAGAACGCAGCGAAAUGCGAUAAGUAAUGUGAAUUGCAGAAUUCAGUGAAUCAUCGAAUCUUUGAACGCACCUUGCGCUCCCUGGUAUUCCGGGGAGCAUGCCUGUUUGAGUGUCAUGGUAUCCUCAACCUUCAUAACUUUUGUUAUCGAAGGCUUGGACUUGGAGGCUUGUGCUGGCUCUUCAUUGAGUCGGCUCCUCUGAAAUAUAUUAGCGUGAGUGUAACGGAUCGCUUCGGUGUGAUAAUUAUCUGCGCCGUGGUCGUGAAGUAACAUAAGCUUGCGCUUCUAAUCGUCCUUCAGUUGGACAAUAACCUUUUGACAUCUGACCUCAAAUCAGGUAGGACUACCCGCUGAACUUAAGCAUAUCAAAGCCGGAGGAGGGCGGUGGAUUUUUUGUGCUGCCUCUAAAUGACCAAGAGCCGCCCCCCUGUGGUUUUCGGGAAAACUCCCCAUGGAAAAAAAGGCCGGGUU
rnacentral:rRNA from 1 species